rnacentral:rRNA from 1 species
AGGUAGUUGGUGAGGUAACGGCCCACCAAGCCGACGAUCGGUAGCCGACCUGAGAGGGUGAUCGGCCACAUUGGGACUGAGACACGGCCCAAACUCCUACGGGAGGCAGCAGUGGGAAUAUUGGGCAAUGGAGGAAACUCUGACCCAGCAACGCCGCGUGGAGGAAGAAGGUUUUCGGAUCGUAAACUCCUGUCCUUGGAGACGAGUAGAAGACGGUAUCCAAGGAGGAAGCCCCGGCUAACUACGUGCCAGCAGCCGCGGUAAUACGUAGGGGGCAAGCGUUGUCCGGAAUAAUUGGGCGUAAAGGGCGCGUAGGCGGCUCGGUAAGUCUGGAGUGAAAGUCCUGCUUUUAAGGUGGGAAUUGCUUUGGAUACUGUCGGGCUUGAGUGCAGGAGAGGUUAGUGGAAUUCCCAGUGUAGCGGUGAAAUGCGUAGAGAUUGGGAGGAACACCAGUGGCGAAGGCGACUAACUGGACUGUAACUGACGCUGAGGCGCGAAAGUGUGGGGAGCAAACAGGAUUAGAUACCCUGGUAGUCCACACUGUAAACGAUGAAUGCUAGGUGUAGGGGGUAUCGACCCCUUCUGUGCCGCAGUCAACACAAUAAGCAUUCCGCCUGGGGAGUACGGCCGCAAGGUUGAAACUCAAAGGAAUUGACGGGGGCCCGCACAAGCAGCGGAGCAUGUGGUUUAAUUCUACGCAACGCGAAGAACCUUACCAGGUCUUGACAUCCACUUAAACUUACAGAGAUGUAAGGUGUGCUUGCACAAAGUGAGACAGGUGGUGCAUGGUUGUCGUCAGCUCGUGUCGUGAGAUGUUGGGUUAAGUCCCGCAACGAGCGCAACCCUUAUCUUCAGUUACUAACGCGUAAAGGUGAGGACUCUGAAGAGACUGCCGGGGACAACUCGGAGGAAGGUGGGGACGACGUCAAAUCAUCAUGCCCCUUAUGACCUGGGCUACACACGUGCUACAAUGGCCACGACAGAGAGAAGCGAAAUCGCAAGGUAGAGCGGAACUCAAAAAAGUGGUCCCAGUUCGGAUUGUGGGCUGCAACCCGCCCACAUGAAGUCGGAGUUGCUAGUAAUCGCGGAUCAGCAUGCCGCGGUGAAUACGUUCCCGGGCCUUGUACACACCGCCCGUCACACCAUGGGAGUUGGGAGUGCCCAAAGCCGGUGAGGCAACCGCAAGGAGCCAGCCGUCUAAGGCAAGACCAAUGACUGGGGUGAAGUCGUAACAAGGUAGCCGUAUCGGAAGGUGCGGCUG